rnacentral:pre_miRNA from 2 species
AAUUGGGAAAGGGAUGAAGAUUUUUGGGAAGCUUUUGGCGUGAGCGGUGGGGAAAGAUAGAUCUAUCAUAUUUGUAUGAUAUGAUAAAUCUUGCCUACACCGCCCAUGCCCAUGGCUUCCAAUUAUUUCUCCCUUUCCAUACAAUU